UACAGAGGUCUCAAGCGUUGUUCGGAUCAUUGGCGUAAAGGGUGCGUAGGCGGCGCGGUAAGUCGGGUGUGAAAUCUCGGGCUUAACUCCGAAACUGCAUUCGAUACUGCCGUGCUUGAGGACUGGAGAGGAGACUGAAUUACGGUGUAGCGGUGAAUGCGUAGAUAUCGUAAGGAAGACCAGUGGCGAAGGCGGGUCUCUGGACAGUUCCUGACGCUGAGGCACGAAGGCCAGGGAGCAAACGGG
rnacentral:rRNA from 1 species